GUGUAUGUGAACUGCUACCUUAAUAAUAAACACAAAGUGGACUUGGCAGUGUCAACAAACCUGAAACAUUACAAGCUUUGUAGGAGUAGUAAGGGCAGAGUUGUUGUAUUGGAUUACACCUGAUGUUCUCAUCUCAUCUCAUGGUCAAGCGGGAAGUUGCAUGACUCGUGACUGCAAUUUCACACCAGGGAAAGGACUCAAGUGUGUGUGUGUGUGUGUGUGUGUGUGUGACAGAGAGAGAGCGAGCUCAAAGUGAAACCCACCGCCCCCACGCGAGCUGCUACAAGUACUCACCUGUACGCGAGAGUCAUGCACUCAAACAGCUUGUGUCGAAGUCGUAGCCUUUCUUCGGUGGGUGCUCGCUGUGGGGCGAGGACACCAUGAAGUGUCCGCUGUGGAUGAUCUGAGACUCCAGCCCGUCCGCCCUCCUCAGCCCCAGGACACUGUAGUCAGAUCUUCCUGCAGUGAAAACAAAUCGUCCGUCGUAGGAGCAUGCCAAAGCAGACACCCCUGUUGGAUGGCAGAUCAAAGCAUUGGACUUGUAGGGGUUCCCAUCCAGAGGCAAAAUCUGGAGACCCAACUGGAAAUAUAAAAGACUCUUAGUGAUAAUAACUGUGUAUUUCUGAUAAAUGUCAUUUGAUAAAAUGCCACAUACAAAAUAAAGCAGAUAAAAACGUCCAA